GAUGAAGAACGUAGCGAAAUGCGAUAAGUAAUGUGAAUUGCAGAAUUCAGUGAAUCAUCGAAUCUUUGAACGCACAUUGCGCCCGCCAGCAUUCUGGCGGGCAUGCCGGUUCGAGCGUCAUUUCAACCCUCGAGCCCCCCCGGGGGCCUCGGUGUUGGGGGACGGCACACCAGCCGCCCCCGAAAUGCAGUGGCGACCCCGCCGCAGCCUCCCCUGCGUAGUAGCACACACCUCGCACCGGAGCGCGGAGGCGGUCACGCCGUAAAACGCCCAACUUUCUUAGAGUUGACCUCGGAUCAGGUAGGAAUACCCGCUGAACUUAAGCAUAUCAAUAAGCGGAGGA
rnacentral:misc_RNA from 1 species